UUUUUUGACUUGAAUAAAUGUUGAAAUGACAAUUAAAAUGGGCAGUAAAACAGAAAGAAGCAUGUUUUAUGAUGUAUCAUGUUGUUCUGUUUUGAAAAGUGUUCUAUGUGUGGGUAAGUAUAUAAACGAAUAAAAUUUCGAGAAGGUAUGUAGUAGACUUAUUUCUGUUGAUUGCGAUAAUCAUGUUUUAGUUAAGUGCGACUUAUAUAUGCGGGCUUUUGGCCGUUUUGGUUUGUAUCAUAGGUGCUGCAAGAGGUACUUUCAUAUUUGAUGAUCCACCAUCUCCUCAAUAUCCGGGUAGGCCAGAUAAAAAACCUAAAGGUAUAUCUACUCGACCAUGGACUCAUGGUUACGAUGACUGAAAAUAAAGAUGUGUUGAUACCAGUAUACGAGCAGAUCCUGAUGAAGAUUUUUAUGCUGAACGAAGAAUGUACCUACCUAAUACCGAAAAAAUUAUUCAAUUCAUAAUCAAAUCAUCUCUUGUAUAUUGGAAAAAUACAUUUAUUCAAUCACGAA